AGAGUUUGAUCCUGGCUCAGGACGAACGCUGGCGGCGUGCCUAAUGCAUGCAAGUCGAGCGGGCUACGAUCUUCGGAUUGUAGCUUAGCGGCGAACGGGUGAGUAACACGUAGGUAAUCUACCCUUCAGAGGAGGACAACCUCAGGAAACUGAGGCUAAACCUUCAUACGUUCACUGGUAGGGAUACUGGUGAAGAAAGAGUUACCUUAGUGGUAGCUGCUGAAGGAUGAGCCUUCGGCCCAUCAGGUAGUUGGUGAGGUAACGGCUCACCAAGCCGAAGACGGGUAACCGGUCUGAGAGGAUGUCCGGUCACACUGGGACUGAGACACGGCCCAGACUCCUACGGGAGGCAGCAGCAGGGAAUCUUGGGCAAUGGGCGAAAGCCUGACCCAGCGACGCCGCGUGGAGGAAGAAGUCCUUCGGGGCGUAAACUCCUGGACUGGGGGACGAGGAAGGACGGUACCCCAGUAGAAAGGGACGGCUAACUACGUGCCAGCAGCCGCGGUAAAACGUAGGUCCCGAGCGUUGUUCGGAUUCACUGGGUGUAAAGGGCGCGUAGGUGGUUGUCUGUGUCUCAUGUGAAAACUCAGGGCUCAACUCUGAGAUUGCGUGGGAAACUAGGCAGCUAGAGGACGGUAGAGGGGAGUGGAAUUCCCGGUGUAGCGGUAAAAUGCGUAGAUAUCGGGAGGAACACCGGUGGCGAAGGCGGCUCUCUGGGCCGAUCCUGACGCUGAGGCGCGAAAGCUAGGGGAGCGAACCGGAUUAGAUACCCGGGUAGUCCUAGCCGUAAACGAUGGGUGCUAGGUGUUGGGGGGUAAAGACCCUUCAGUGCCGAAGCCAACGCGAUAAGCAUCCCACCUGGGGAGUACGGCCGCAAGGUUGAAACUCAAAUGAAUUGACGG
rnacentral:rRNA from 1 species